UAAAUGCUAGAUAUUGCAGGUGGUUGUUUCAAUUUUUUGUUUCUAUUUAUGCUUGUGCGAGUUAAAUUCUUAGAAACAGAAAUUUAUAAAUGAAAAGUACUACAAUUAUGGUACUUUUUGUGCUCUUUAAGGUGUUAAGAAAUCAUAUUAAACAUGUUCUCCUUUCUGCAAACAUGCAUUAUAUCCAUGUUUGUUCUGUGGCAAUUUUUUAAAAAUAUUUCCUUAUCUUGUUCGCUCUGUUGGCAAAUAAAAUCUUAUAUAUUUCACAGAAAAAUAUGUACAUCUUGUUAAGCACAUCGGUCUCUCGUAACUUCUUCGUUAAAUGGAUAAUGAACGUAUUCUAGAGAUAUUUAUUCGUAUAUAUUCGAUUAAACAGACCCAUUUGAAACAUUGAUUGUUUCAAAAAUAUUACGUGAUGAAUAAAAUCCCGAUCACCUUGAGCCGAUGUACACUGUUGGGUAAACACAAAUGUAUUCUCUGUUUGUCCAUAUGUUGGUACUUUUCACAAUAAUGACUGCAAUCCAAUUGCAUAAUAACAUGUGAUAUGUUGCAGUUAUUUACUUAAAUGUGUAUGCCAUGUUAAGCACAACAAUACGGUUUUCAGUGUUCGACUCUUAAUAAUUAGCACUUCAAUAGUUGCAAUUUCAGUUGAUAAUCAUACGAUCGUAUGAUACGAUCACUUUUUAUCGUUUUAAAACGAACUCUUGGGUAGGUUUUGUGAAUAUAUCGUACACAGCGAUAAAAGGCAAAAUAUACGAAAUCACUAUUCGAAAAUCUGACUAUUAUGUUGCAUAGUAAGACCCAAGCUGAUGAGAAGCUGACGCACAUAUCCAAAGCUCCGCCUCAAAUGGCAGGAUUGCAACUCAAAAAACCCGAACUCUUACCCGCUCAAUUUAAUGCUGAGAGAAGACCAAAGGCGUCCCAAUGCGUGCUGGGCUUGCCAUCAACGAGAUCUUGACGGCUUAGUUUUUUAUAUAAUCGGUUUUUAAUGCUAUUAUUAUAGGCGAGAAUAUCAAAGUGUAAAAUCUCAAAUAUCUGUGAAUAGGGUACCGCCAAGAAGGCAUACUUUUUCACGUAAUAAGCUUCAGCACAUAAUUUUCUACUUGGCAUGUGUUGUGGACCAAACAAGGAUGGUUGAUAAAAUACCAAAUUGCUUAUUUCUCAGUUUGCUCUUUUCUUUUGAGCAUUGUUUGAACAAUUUAAUGUCACAAAAAAUUUAAUCGAUUUAACUUAUAUUAACGAUGCUUUGAAGGAAAGUGAUAAUUGCAAGUUGCAUUGCUUGUUCUCUGCUAUUCACAGAGAAAUUUUGAAAUCUUUGAUAUUGCAGCUUUUGAUAUAUAAGAUAUUUUGUGUUUGUUAAUUUUUUAAUAUUUAUCAGAUUGUGUCUUUAUUAUUUAAAAAAUAUUAUUGGUGCUUUUGGUGAUGAUAGUUUUGUGGGGUGGGAUCAUAAAUAAAAUUCAAUAUGUGAAUUUUAACAUUUUACAGUCCAAUUUGAUCCUACUUUGUAGACUAUUUAAAUAUUUGAGAUGCGGUCAGUCUUGCAUUGUUUAUUUGUGAACAUCGAUUUCUCGUUUUUGUUUCAAAUCUUCCUCCAUAUUCUAAUGAUCUGAUUAAAAUCAAAUUAUCAAUUAUGUUAAUAAUAGAGUGAAUAGAUUGUUUAAUAGAUUGAAUGAGAAGUUUUAAAAAUUCUGCAAUUGCAGUUUUAGUAGAUAUUUUAGAGUUUAGACGUAUGGCUGAGCUAUGUUUAUCGAUUGCUUAAGCCUGAAGCUCUGCCCGAAGAUCCAAGUGAUUGAAUGCCUCCAUAUAGACCAAUUCAAACCUUUAGCACAAAUUGCAUACGAAAGUCAACAUUUUCUCAUGGAUUAUGAAUUCGAUGCCUCUACCAUGAUAAAACAGUGUUGUACAGAGCGUUCCGUUUCAGUGAUGCCGGGCUACAAGCCAUCUAAUUUCGUUAAAAGGUUGUUACGUUGAAAAGCGAUGUCACGAUAGCUCUAUGUAAAGUCCGUCUAACUGUAACACUGAAGCUUAUUAGAUUAAAAUACACACAUAGCAGAUUCAA